rnacentral:rRNA from 1 species
CGGGUGAGUAACGCGUGGGUAACCUGCCUUGUACUGGGGGACAACAGUUGGAAACGACUGCUAAUACCGCAUAAGCGCACAGCUUCGCAUGAAGCAGUGUGAAAAACUCCGGUGGUACAAGAUGGACCCGCGUCUGAUUAGCUGGUUGGUGAGGUAACGGCCCACCAAGGCAACGAUCAGUAGCCGGCCUGAGAGGGUGAACGGCCACAUUGGGACUGAGACACGGCCCAA